AGAGUUUGAUCCUGGCUCAGAUUGAACGCUGGCGGCAUGCCUUACACAUGCAAGUCGAACGGUAACGGGUAAAGCCGACGAGUGGCGAACGGGUGAGUAAUAUAUCGGAACGUGCCCAGUUGUGGGGGAUAACGUAGCGAAAGCUACGCUAAUACCGCAUGAGAUCUCUGGAUGAAAGCGGGGGAUCGCAAGACCUCGCGCGAUUGGAGCGGCCGAUAUCAGAUAGGUAGUUGGUGGGGUAAAAGCUUACCAAGCCUGCGAUCUGUAGCUGGUCUGAGAGGACGACCAGCCACACUGGAACUGAGACACGGUUCAGACUCCUACGGGAGGCAGCAGUGGGGAAUUUUGGACAAUGGGCGCAAGCCUGAUCCAGCAAUGCCGCGUGCAGGAUGAAGGCCUUCGGGUUGUAAACUGCUUUUGUACGGAGCGAAACGGUCUACUCUAAUACAGUGGGCUAAUGACGGUACCGUAAGAAUAAGCACCGGCUAACUACGUGCCAGCAGCCGCGGUAAUACGUAGGGUGCGAGCGUUAAUCGGAAUUACUGGGCGUAAAGCGUGCGCAGGCGGUCUUGUAAGACAGGUGUGAAAACCCCGGGCUUAACCUGGGAACUGCAUUUGUGACUGCAAGGCUGGAGUACGGUAGAGGGGGAUGGAAUUCCGCGUGUAGCAGUGAAAUGCGUAGAUAUGCGGAGGAACACCGAUGGCGAAGGCAGUCCCCUGGACCUGUACUGACGCUCAUGCACGAAAGCGUGGGGAGCAAACAGGAUUAGAUACCCUGGUAGUCCACGCCGUAAACGUUGGGCGCUAGGUGUGGGGGACAUUCCACGUCCUCCGUGCCGCAGCUAACGCAUUAAGCGCCCCGCCUGGGGAGUACGGCCGCAAGGCUAAAACUCAAAGGAAUUGACGGGGCCCGCACAAGCGGCGGAGCAUGCGAUUAAUUCGAUCCACGCGAAGAACCUUACCUGGGUUUGACAUAUAGGGAAAUCUCACAGAGAUGUGAGGUCCGUAAGGGUCCUAUACAGGUGGUGCAUGGCUGUCGUCAGCUCGUGUCGUGAGAUGUUGGGUUAAGUCCCGCAACGAGCGCAACCCUCGUCCUAUGUUGCCAGCACGUUAUGGUGGGGACUCAUAGGAGACUGCCGGGGUCAACUCGGAGGAAGGUGGGGAUGACGUCAAGUCAUCAUGCCCCUUAUGUCCAGGGCUUCACGCAUGCUACAAUGGCCGGUACAAAGGGCUGCGAAACCGCAAGGUGGAGCGAAUCCCAAAAAGCCGGUCUCAGUUCGGAUUGGGGUCUGCAACUCGACCCCAUGAAGUCGGAGUCGCUAGUAAUCGCAGAUCAGCAACGCUGCGGUGAAUACGUUCCCGGGCCUUGUACACACCGCCCGUCACGUCAUGAAAGUCGGCAACACCCGAAGCCGGUGGCCUAACCCUUGUGGAGGGAGCCGUCGAAGGUGGGGCUGGCGAUUAGGACGAAGUCGUAACAAGGUA
rnacentral:rRNA from 1 species